CUAAUGGAUUUGAAGUGAGUGCUCCUCUUUUAAGAGGUUUAAUUGCUCUGCCUGAUGCUUUUAUAGAACCUUUUCGUAGGAAAUUGUAUAUUUGUUUUAACUGGAAAUUUUUAGCGGCUGCUAGUUUUAUGUGCAGCAGCAUGACUGCAAAAUAUGGAAAAUUUUGUUUAGCUGCUCCAUUUUCUUAGUGACUCCAGACUCGCUCUGUAUUCACCAUAAAAGCCUAGUAUUUGCCUUUAGGGUUUUGAAAUUUUGCCAUUGCAUUAGGAAUUGCCAUUUGUAGUUUGCGCAUUGUGUUCUUAUCUACUGCAUGGUAGUUUGUUCAGAUUAUUAAGUUUAGGAUGGACUUUGUCCUGAUGACUAAACUUGGGGAACAUAACAUAUUAUUAGAAAGGAUCGUGUAAAGUGACUGCAUGCCCCAGGUUCUGAGAGCGG
rnacentral:misc_RNA from 1 species